UAGAUGUUACUAGUGUAAGGUUCAAUCGACUCAUUGUUACCAAGAAUCUGAGCAGUUGAUGCUGUCGGCAUGGGAGCCAGAAGAAGACUGUUGCGCAAGCCUUGCCUAUAGUUAAAUACGAUUAAGUAUCGGGCUUCCCAGUCCCAAAGGUUGGAUGGUGUUACACCCCAUAAAUCAUACUGCAAAAUCUGAAGUGAGCCUUCGUAUGUUGAAUAUGGUCCAUCUUUGGCUGCUAGUUCAGAUGAUGCCUGCAAGAAAGGGAUUUACUAACAAUUACUACUUUGUAUACCAGUAUAUGAGAAUAUAUAUAAACUAUAUUUAAUAUAUACAGUAUGAGUGGCAGUGUUGUAUCAGAGAUACAAACUUGAGGCAUAGCCGAGCGUUUGUAUAUCGGAUACAACACGAACACUGUAGAUUGCUUGUCAAACGUCUAGGUUAGUUCCUUUGUGUUUCACUAAAA